ACAGCAGCCGCCGCGGUAAUACGAAGGGUGCAAGCGUUAAUCGGAAUUACUGGGCGUAAAGCGUGCGUAGGCGGUUUGUUAAGUCUGCUGUGAAAUCCCCGGGCUCAACCUGGGAAUGGCAGUGGAUACUGGCAAGCUAGAGUGUGUCAGAGGAUGGUGGAAUUCCCGGUGUAGCAGUGAAAUGCGUAGAUAUGCGGAGGAACACCGAUGGCGAAGGCAGCCCCCUGGGCCAAUACUGACGCUCAUGCACGAAAGCGUGGGGAGCAAACAGGAUUAGAUACCCCUGUAGUCCCUGUCUCUUAUAC
rnacentral:rRNA from 1 species